CCCAGAAUGCCGGAAUGAGUAGCGAGAUGGAGGUGGGAAUCCUCCAGGCCGAAUAUCCAAGGUUUCCAGAGUAAAGCUGAUCUGCUCUGGGUAAGUCGGGACCUAAGGCGAGGCCGAGAGGCGUAGCCGAUGGACAACAGGUUGAGAUUCCUGUACUGCUGUAUAUCAGAACUGUGGGACACAGAGGGAAAGCACAGGCGCGGAACGGAAAGCCGCGUGCAAGCGAGGUACCGGACUGGUAGGAAAAACCGCCAGUCAACGGGAAGGCGUGAUGCGUACCGAAAUCAAGUAGGGAAGUGUGUGAGCCAGCUGUCAAGAAAAGCCGCUAUUGCGUAUACAGUACCCGUACCGUAAACCGACACAGGUGGAUGAGGAGAGAAUCCUAAGGCCGGCGGAAGAAGUAUUGUCAAGGAACUCGGCAAAAUGACCCUGUAACUUCGGGAGAAAGGGUGCCUCGAAAGAGGCCGCAGAGAAUUGGCCCAAGCAACUGUUUAGCAAAAACACAGGUCUAUGCGAAACCGAAAGGUGAGGUAUAUGGGCUGACGCCUGCCCGGUGCUGGAAGGUUAAGGGGAGAUGUUAGAGCAAUCGAAGCAUUGAACUUAAGCCCCAGUAAACGGCGGCCGUAACAAUAACGGUCCUAAGGUAGCGAAAUUCCUUGUCGGGUAAGUUCCGACCCGCACGAAAGGCGUAAUGAUUUGGGCGCUGUCUCGACAAUACAUCCGGUGAAAUUGAAGUACCAGUGAAGAUGCUGGUUACCCGCGCCAGGACGGAAAGACCCCAUGGAGCUUUACUCCAGCUUGAUACUGGGAUUCGGUAUUGCAUGUACAGGAUAGGUGGGAGGCUUUGAAGCAAGGACGCCAGUCUUUGUGGAGCCGCUGUUGGGAUACCACCCUUGCGGUAUUGGAUUUCUAACCAGCCGCCGUGAAACCGGCGGUGGGACAAUGUCAGGCGGGGAGUUUGACUGGGGCGGUCGCCUCCGAAAGGGUAUCGGAGGCGCCCAAAGGUUCCCUCAGAAUGGUUGGAAACCAUUCGAAGAGUGCAAAGGCAGAAGGGAGCUUGACUGUGACACCGACGGGUGGAGCAGGUACGAAAGUAGGGCUUAGUGAUCCGGUGGUAUUAAGUGGGAAUGCCAUCGCUCAACGGAUAAAAGCUACCCCUGGGAUAACAGGCUUAUCACUCCCAAGAGUUCACAUCGACGGAGUGGUUUGGCACCUCGAUGUCGGCUCAUCGCAUCCUGGGGCUGUAGUAGGUCCCAAGGGUUGGGCUGUUCGCCCAUUAAAGCGGUACGCGAGCUGGGUUCAGAACGUCGUGAGACAGUUCGGUCCCUAUCCGGCGUGGGCGCAGGAUAUUUGAGAGGAGCUGUCCUUAGUACGAGAGGACCGGGAUGGACUGACCUCUGGUGCACCGGUUGUUCCGCCAGGAGCAUAGCCGGGUAGCCAAGUCGGGAAGGGAUAAACGCUGAAGGCAUCUAAGCGUGAAGCCCCCCUCAAGAUGAGAUAUCCCAUGCGAAAGCGAUAAGACCCCUUGAAGACGACGAGGUAGAUAGGUCAGAGGUGGAAGCACAGCAAUGUGUGGAGCUGACUGAUACUAAUAGGUCGAAGGCUUAAUC
rnacentral:rRNA from 1 species